AUUGAACGCUGGCGGCAGGCCUAACACAUGCAAGUCGAGCGGAUGACGGGAGCUUGCUCCUUGAUUCAGCGGCGGACGGGUGAGUAAUGCCUAGGAAUCUGCCUGGUAGUGGGGGACAACGUUUCGAAAGGAACGCUAAUACCGCAUGCGUCCUACGGGAGAAAGCAGGGGACCUUCGGGCCUCGCGCUAUCAGACGAGCCUAGGUCGGAUUAGCUAGUAGGUGGGGUAAUGGCUCACCUAGGCGACGAUCCGUAACUGGUCUGAGAGGAUGAUCAGUCACACUGGAACUGAGACACGGUCCAGACUCCUACGGGAGGCAGCAGUGGGGAAUAUUGGACAAUGGGCGAAAGCCUGAUCCAGCCAUGCCGCGUGUGUGAAGAAGGUCUUCGGAUUGUAAAGCACUUUAAGUUGGGAGGAAGGGCAGUAAGUUAAUACCUUGCUGUUUUGACGUUACCGACAGAAUAAGCACCGGCUAACUCUGUGCCAGCCGCCGCCGUAACAC
rnacentral:rRNA from 1 species